GAAAGUGUAGUAUAUGGGUAUCAUUCCGGCCUUCCAAGCCUGAGAACCGGGUUCGAGUCCCGGCACUUUCA
rfam:Lobosporangium transversale strain NRRL 3116 BCR41scaffold_47, whole genome shotgun sequence.